AUGGUCAGCGCAAGCUGCCGGAUAUGCUUUCGAAGUAGCUUUGCUUCGUAAAGCUUUUAGCUCACUCGUUGGUCAGUUUUGAGAGUUCAACUCUCAAAACCCUCGUUACUUUUAGUCAACACGAUUCGUGAACGACCCGAAAGUAAUCGAGAUUGAUCCUUGAAAACUGGAUAACGAAACGAAAUUUGCGUUUUAGAAAUAUUCCUUUUCUGAUGAANUAACACGAGACAUUUUUGCCGAAAGCGACCUUGAAUUUAUUGUUCAGUGGUUUCGGCCAAAUGCUCCAGGGGUUAGACACAUCACUUCGAAGCUGGAGUGAAGUCGAUUCAGGGGUAGGGGAGCGUUGUAUAUGGGUUGAAGUCAGACCGGAAGGACUGGUGGACUGUAUACAAGUGAGAAUGCCGGUAUGAGUAACGAAAAGAUCAGUGAGAAUCUGAUCCGCCGAAAGCCCAAGGUUUCCUGAGGAAGGUUCGUCCGCUCAGGGUAAGUCGGGACCUAAGGCGAGGCCGAAAGGCGUAGUCGAAGGACAACAGGUUGAAAUUCCUGUACCACCGUAAUCCGUUAUGAGUGAUGGGGUGACGCAGUAGGGUAGUGACGCGAGCUGAUGGAUGCUCGUCCAAGCAGUGAGGCUGAUGUGUAGGCAAAUCCGCACAUCGUUAAGGCUGGGCUGUGAUGGGGAGGGAAAAUUUACAGUACCGAAGGUCAUGAUCUCACACUGCCAAGAAAAGCCUCUAGCCAGGAGAAGGUGCCCGUACCGCAAACCGACACAGGUAGGCGAGAAGAGAAUUCUAAGGCGCGCGGAAGAACUCUCGUUAAGGAACUCGGCAAAAUGACCCCGUAACUUUGGGAGAAGGGGUGCCCCGGUAGUGUGAAUAGCACGAGGGGGCCGCAGUGAAAAGGCCCAAGCGACUGUUUAGCAAAAACACAGGUCUGUGCGAAGCCGUAAGGCGAAGUAUACGGGCUGACGCCUGCCCGGUGCUGGAAGGUUAAGGGGAGCGGUUAGGGGUAACCCGAAGCUGUGAACCGAAGCCCCAGUAAACGGCGGCCGUAACUAUAACGGUCCUAAGGUAGCGAAAUUCCUUGUCAGGUAAAUUCUGACCCGCACGAAUGGCGUAACGACUUGGGCGCUGUCUCAACGAGAGAUCCGGUGAAAUUUUAAUACCUGUGAAGAUGCAGGUUACCCGCGACAAGACGGAAAGACCCCAUGGAGCUUUACUACAGCUUGAUAUUGAACUUUGAUGCGAUUUGUACAGGAUAGGUGGGAGCCUAGGAAUCCGGAGCGCCAGCUUCGGUGGAGGCAUCGUUGGGAUACCACCCUGAUCGUAUCGAAGUUCUAACCUAGGACCGUGAUCCGGUUCGGGGACAGUGUCAGGCGGGUAGUUUGACUGGGGCGGUCGCCUCCUAAAGAGUAACGGAGGCGCCCCAAGGUUCCCUCAGAAUGGUUGGAAAUCAUUCGUAGAGUGCAAAGGCAAAAGGGAGCUUGACUGCGAGACUGACAAGUCGAGCAGGGACGAAAGUCGGGCUUAGUGAUCCGGUGGUACCGCAUGGAAGGGCCAUCGCUCAACGGAUAAAAGCUACCCUGGGGAUAACAGGCUUAUCUCCCCCAAGAGUCCACAUCGACGGGGAGGUUUGGCACCUCGAUGUCGGCUCAUCGCAUCCUGGGGCUGAAGUAGGUCCCAAGGGUUGGGCUGUUCGCCCAUUAAAGCGGUACGCGAGCUGGGUUCAGAACGUCGUGAGACAGUUCGGUCCCUAUCUGUCGUGGGCGUAGGAAAUUUGAGAGGAGCUGUCCUUAGUACGAGAGGACCGGGAUGGACGCACCGCUGGUGCACCAGUUGUUCCGCCAGGAGCAUAGCUGGGUAGCUACGUGCGGAUGGGAUAAACGCUGAAAGCAUCUAAGCGUGAAGCCCUCCUCAAGAUGAGAUUUCCCAAUUAGUAAGACCCCUUGAAGACGACGAGGUUGAUAGGCCUGAGGUGGAAGUGCAGCAAUGUAUGGAGCUGACAGGUACUAAUCGGUCGAGGGCUUAUCCAA
rnacentral:rRNA from 1 species